rnacentral:rRNA from 1 species
GAUGAACGCUAGCGAUAGGCUUAACACAUGCAAGUCGAGGGGCAGCAUGGUCUUAGCUUGCUAAGACUGAUGGCGACCGGCGCACGGGUGCGUAACGCGUAUGCAACUUGCCUCACAGAGGGGGAUAACCCGUCGAAAGACGGACUAAUACCGCGUACACUUGGGAUAGGGCAUCCUGACCCAAGGAAAUGAAAUUCGCUGUGAGAUAGGCAUGCGUCCCAUUAGCUAGUUGGUGAGGUAACGGCUCACCAAGGCGACGAUGGGUAGGGGAACUGAGAGGUUGAACCCCCACACUGGUACUGAGACACGGACCAGACUCCUACGGGAGGCAGCAGUGAGGAAUAUUGGUCAAUGGGCGAGAGCCUGAACCAGCCAAGUCGCGUGAAGGAUGACUGUCUUAUGGAUUGUAAACUUCUUUUAUACGGGAAUAACAAGAGUCACGUGUGGCUCCCUGCAUGUACCGGAUGAAUAAGCAUCGGCUAACUCCGUG